UAGGAUUCCCAAAGUAAAGGCGAUUGAAAUGGGAAUAGCUCAGCGCUGAAUCAUUCAGUUUUAAACUGCUAUGAACUGUAGCGUAUAAUUGCAGUCUAUCCGUAGUAAUAGUUGUCCGAAGUUCCCAUAAACGGGACUAUAGUCCAAAGAGGGUGCUAGACCUGUACGGACGCUGUUGCUAUUGAUAUCUCUGUAAUUCGGAGUCGGGUUACUUGAAAAUGUAGCCUUAAGCCGGUGAUAUACUUCAUCGAAAGCUAAAUAUCGUAAGGAAGGCGAUAGUCUACAAGUACCGUGAGGGAAAGUUGCAAAGGACUUUGAAGAGAGAGUUCAAGAGAACGUGAAAUCCCAAGAGUAGAAGCAGAGCGAGUUGAAAUUGCUAAACGAUGAUAUAAUUAGGCUAUUGGCCGGUUAUGGAGUCGUGGUGCUGCGCUGGCUGCACUGUACGAGCUUUCAUUGACUAGUAAAUGUUGCCCAUUCUUCGGAUUGGUGUCUUGUUUAUUGGAAUAGCUUGCCGUUACAGUGUUUAACUUGAUAUCUUCGGAUAUGAGCCGGUGUUAAUGUCAAUUACCGCUCUGGCCCGUCUUGAAACACGGACCGAGGAGUGUUACUUAUGCGCGAGUCAGAGAGUUAUAUUAUUCUCAACGGCGUAAUGAAAGUAAAGGUUAAUUAAUUAACUGAGAUGAGAGGUUAGUCUCUUGUAGAUUAACUGCAUCAUCGCCCUGUCUCGAAAGCUUGCUUUUAGGCAGAGGUUGAGCGUAUAGGUAGCGACCCGAAAGAUGGUGAACUAUGCUUGAGCAGGAUGAAGCCAGAGGAAACUCUGGUGGAAGUCCGUAUAGGUUCUGACGUGCAAAUCGAUCUAUAGACUUGAGUAUAGGGGCGAAAGACUAAUCGAACCAUCUAGUAGCUGGUUCCCUCCGAAGUUUCCCCCAGGAUAGCUGGAACUUAAAACAGUUGAAUUCGGUAAAGCGAAUGAUUAGAGGAAUUGGGGAAAAAUUUUCCUCAACCUAUUCUCAAACUUUCAAUGGGUUCGAUGUAUCGGUUGCUUUAGUGAACUGUAUACAUGAAUGUGAAGGUUCCAAGUGGGCCAUUUUUGGUAAGCAGAACUGGCGCUGCGGGAUGCUCCGAACGUUAAGUUACGGUGUCAAAUAUUCGCUCAUGAGAUCCCAUAAAAGGUGUUGAUAGAUUUAGACAGCAGGACGGUGGCCAUGGAAGUCGGUACCCGCUAAGGAGUGUGUAACAACUCACCUGCCGAAUCUAUCAGCCCUGAAAAUGGAUGACGCUUGAGCGAGUAACCUAUACUUAACCGUUACUAUGCUUGUUACAUUGUUUAAUGUCUGGCAGUAACGAGUAGGAGGGACGUAGUGGUUGCAUAGAAGGCUUCGGACGUAGGUCCAGCUGGAGCUUCCACUAGUGCAGAUCUCGGUAGUAGUAGGCAAAUAUUCAAGUUUCAAACUUGAAGACUGAAGUGGAGAAGGGUUCCACAUGAACAGUAAUUGGAUGUGGGUCAGUCGAUCCUAAGAUAAAGGCUAAUGCCUUGUAUCAAUAAGAGGGAAAAGUUUACUUUUCUCUUAGAUAUCGAAAGGGAAUAGGGUUAAAAUUCCCUAACUCUCAUAUUGCGAUUCUAAUUCUUUAUCGGGUUAGUUAGGCGGUAACGCAAUCGAAGUUGAUAACGACUUUCAUAGACCGAGCUAGAGUUCUCUUCUCUAGUUUAGGAACGGACUCCCUGGAAUCGGUUCAUCCGGAGAUAGGGACGUUGUUUCCGUAAAGUAUUGCGGUUUCUGUAAUAUCUCGUGCUCUGUGAAGGUUCCUUGAAAAAUUAACGGAGAUAAUUAAGCAAUGGAGAAUCGUACCGAUAUCCGCAUCAGGUCUUCAAGGUGAGUAGCCUCUAGUCGAUAGAAUAAUGUAGGUAAGGGAAGUCGGCAAAUUAGAUCCGUAACUUCGGGAAAAGGAUUGGCUCCAGUGAUCGGGUUAGAUUGGCCUAUUGACUGAUCUUUGUAUGGUUUCUGCCGUGGCUGGAUAGUCUUCGGACGAUUCGGCCUAGUGUUGAGACUGUCUUAGGGACGUUUUUAGGUGUGCAUUUUGACUUCGGUCUUAGUGUCCUGAUUUGCCACUAUACGAUCAAACUGGAACUGGUACGGACUCGGGGAAUCCGACUGUCUAAUUAAAACAGAGGAGACAGAUGGUCCUUGCGGACGUUUACUGUCUCUGAUUUCUGCCCAGUGCUCUGAAUGUUAAAUCGUAGUAAUUCGAGUAAGCGCGGGUAAACGGCGGGAGUAACUAUGACUCUCUUAAGGUAGCCAAAUGCCUCGUCAUCUAAUUAGUGACGCGCAUGAAUGGAUUAACGAGAUUCCCACUGUCCCUAACUACUAUCUAGCGAAACUACAGCCAAGGGAACGGGCUUGGCAAAUAUAGCGGGGAAAGAAGACCCUGUUGAGCUUGACUCUAGUUUGACAUUGUGAAGAAUCAUGAGAGGUGUAGUAUAGGCGGGAGACUUCGGUCAACAAUGAAAUACCGCCACUUUCAUCGAUUCUUUACUUAUUCGGUUAUAAGGGGAUUGGCUUCGGCCUCUCUUCGUAGCAUUAAGCAUUGCCACCUGGUGGUAGUGUGACUCUCGCCGAAGACCUUGUCAGGUGGGGAGUUUGACUGGGGCGGUACAUCUGUCAAAUCGUAACGCAGGUGUCCUAAGGCUAGCUCAGUGAGGACGGAAACCUCACGUAGAGCAAAAGGGCAAAAGCUCGCUUGAUCUUGACUUUCAGUAUGAGUACAGACCACGAAAGUGUGGCCUAUCGAUCCUUUUAAUCGAGAAAGUUUCUCGUAAGAGGUGUCAGAAAAGUUACCACAGGGAUAACUGGCUUGUGGCAGCCAAGCGUCCAUAGCGACGUUGCUUUUUGAUCCUUCGAUGUCGGCUCUUCCUAUCAUUGCGAAGCAGAAUUCGCCAAGCGUUGGAUUGUUCACCCACUAAUAGGGAACGUGAGCUGGGUUUAGACCGUCGUGAGACAGGUUAGUUUUACCCUACUGUAGACUAAUAGUUGCGAUAGUAAUUCAUCUCAGUACGAGAGGAACAGAUGAUUCAAACAUUUGGUUCAUGGACUUGGUCGAACGGCCAAUGGUCCGAAGCUACCAUUUGAGGGAUUAUGACUGAACGCCUCUAAGUCAGAAUCCCAUCUAGUCAUGGUAACUAUAACUUUGCUUCCUGAUGUCGGGAGGCAUCUCUAUCUCAUGGUAACGUGAGAGCUUAUGCCCUAAUAGAUGGCCUGGCCAGUAGAUAUAUCAUCUGCUGGUUGCCACAGCCAGAUUACUCUGGUUCCAUGUCGGGGUGUUAAUUCACUUACAUACGAUUUGUUAACUAAUCAAGGUGUUGUAUCCAGUAGAGCAGUUCCUAUAUACU
rnacentral:rRNA from 1 species